UACGAAGGGGGCUAGCGUUGUUCGGAUUUACUGGGCGUAAAGCGCACGUAGGCGGAUUGUUAAGUCGGGGGUGAAAUCCUGGAGCUCAACUUCAGAAUUGCCUUCGAUACUGGCUUUCUAGAGGCUGGAAGAGGUUAGUGGAAUUCCCAGUGUAGAGGUGAAAUUCGUAGAUAUUGGGAAGAACACCAGUGGCGAAGGCGGCUAACUGGUCCAGAUCUGACGCUGAGGUGCGAAAGCGUUGGGAGCAAACAGG
rnacentral:rRNA from 1 species